AUAGAGACUCAGAGCUGCAUAUCAAUAAGCGGAGGAAAAGAAACUAACAAGGAUUCCCUCAGUAACGGCGAGUGAAGCGGGAAGAGCUCAAAUUUGAAAUCUUCAAGGUUUUACCUUGACGAAUUGUAGUUUAUAGAAGUGUUUUCUGUUAGUAGGAGUGGCAAAAGUUCUUUGGAAUAGGACAUCAUAGAGGGUGAGAAUCCCGUAUUUGGUCAUUCUUUCUAGCGUUGUGAUACACUUUCAACGAGUCGGAUUGUUUGGGAAUGCAGUCCAAAAUGGGUGGUAAAUUUCAUCUAAAGCUAAAUAUUGGCGAGAGACCGAUAGCGAACAAGUACCGUGAGGGAAAGAUGAAAAGAACUUUGAAAAGAGAGUUAAACAGUACGUGAAAUUGUCAAAAGGGAAGCGUUUGACACCAGUGUUGUUUUUCCGAAAAUCAAUUACGAAUGUUUUAGUUUUUGAGAAGUUAUGACUUCAUCGGCUUGCUUCUUUCUUUACGAAACUUUCUUAAUGCACUUUUCGGUUAACAAGUCAACAUCAAUUUCUUUUGUUGUAAAAGGGUAUGAGGAAGGUGGCUUUCCUUUCGGAGAAAGUGUUUAUAGCCUUGUACCUCUGCAAUCGGAGAGAUUGAGGUCUGCAGCGUAGAUCCUUCGGGGUUAGAUACAUUUGUGCUAAGUUAUAGCUUUUUAUAGACAACAUGUUGACUAUGAUUAGUCUUGUAGCUUACUCGCUUAUGCUAUUUUACCUACGCUUAGGAUGUUGAAGAUAUGCGCGACACG
rnacentral:rRNA from 1 species